UUUUCCAAUUAAAGUAUCGACUUGAAAUAACUUUAUGAACUUAACAUGAAGUUUUCUUAAUAAUUUAGUGGAACUUUGGGCAAAUUUGGACAAUUUUCAAGGGAGUUAUGGACUUUUUGGUACUAAAGGUCCAAAAAAAUGGAGAAAAAUCCAACAUUUAACUUUGACAGCUUGUAAAAAAAAUUCCAAUUUAAGUAUCAACUUGAAAUAACUUUAUGAACUUAAUAUGAAGUUUUCUUAAUAAUUUAGUGGAACUUUGGGUAAAUUUGGACAAUUUUUAAGGGAGUUAAGGACUUUUUUGUACUAAAGGUCCAAAAAAAUUGAGAAAAAUCCAACAUUUAACUUUGACAGCUUGUAAAAAAUUUUCCAAUUAAAGUAUCAACUUGAAAUAACUUUAUAAACUUAAUAUGAAGUUUUUUUAACAAUUUAGUGGAACUUUGGGUAAAUUUGGACAAUUUUUAAGGGAGUUAUGGACUUUUUGGUACUAAAGGUCCAAAAAAAUGGAGAAAAAUCCAACAUUUAACUUUGACAGCCUGUAAAAAAUUUUCCAAUUAAAGUAUCAACUUGAAAUAACUUUAUAAGCUUAAUAUGAAGUUUUCUUAAUAAUCUAGUGGAACUUUGGGCAAAUUUGGACAAUUUUCAAGGGAGUUAUGGACUUUUUUGUACUAAAGGUCCAAAAAAUGGAGAAAAAUCCAACAUUUAACUUUGACAGCCUGUAAAAAAUUUCUCAAUUAAAGUAUCAACUUCAAAUAACUUUAUAAACUUAAUAUGAAGUUUUCUUAAUAAUUUAGUGGAACUUUGGGUAAAUUUGGACAAUUUUCAAGGGAGUUAUGGACUUUUUUGUACUAAAGGUCCAAAAAAAUGGAGAAAAAACCAACAUUUAACUUUGACAGCCUGUAAAAAAUUUUUCAAUUAAAGUAUCAACUUGAAAUAACUUUAUAAACUUAAUAUGAAGUUUUCUUAAUAGUUUAGUGGAACUUUGGGCAAAUUCGGACAAUUUUCAAGGGAGUUAUGGACUUUUUUGUACUAAAGGUCCAAAAAAAUGGAGAAAAAACCAACAUUUAACUUUGACAGCCUGUAAAAAAUUUUUCAAUUAAAGUAUCGACUUGAAAUAUCUUUAUAAACUUAAUAUGAAGUUUUCUUAAUAAUUUAGUGGAACUUUGGGUAAAUUUGGACAAUUUUCAAAGGAGUUAUGGACUUUUUUGUACUAAAGGUCCAAAAAAGUGGAGAAAAAUUCAACAUUUAACUUUGACAGCCUGUAAAAAAUUUUCCAAUUAAAGUAUCAACUUGAAAUAACUUUAUAAACUUAAUAUGAAGUUUUCUUAAUAAUUUAGUGGAACUUUGGGUAAAUUUGGACAAUUUUUAAGGGAGUUAAGGACUUUUUUGUACUAAAGGUCCAAAAAAAUGGAGAAACAUCCAACAUUUAACUUUGACAGCUUGUAAAAAAUUUUCUAAUUAAAGUAUCAACUUGAAAUAACUUUAUAAACUUAAUAUGAAGUUUUCUUAAUAAUUUAGUGGAACUUUGGGUAAAUUUGAACAAUUUUUGAGGGAGUUAUGGACUUUUUUGUA
rnacentral:lncRNA from 1 species